GGCAGAGAAAGGGAGAGAAUGGCGUCGGCAUGGGGCGCAUUCUGGGGAACAAGGGUCCUGGAAAUUGUGAAGAAACACGAUUCCGGCGGCCUUCUGUGGAAGAGAAUUAAGCUCACUUCUACUCGUAAAGCUAACGCCAAGAAGCGUCUUCGCCGUGUUUGGCAGAAUGAAGCUGUCCUGAGGGCAUGUUCAGAACCAGCUCCCUCUGAAACUGCACAAGUAGAUGCUCUGGAGAAUUAAGUAAGAUGCAAUUAAAGAGCAGCCAUAGUAACUGAUAAAUGAGUUCCAAUAAGAACCAGAAAAAUGGAAUAUGGCCUACAGACCUGCUUGAAAAGGUCCUUUUAUACAUGCUCAACUACAUUAAUGGACCUAUCAAGAUUUUGUUCAGCGGUGUUAUUUCAGUAUGUCAGAUCCCUUUUAAGUUACUUGUAUUUGUUAAUUUUUGUGGGUUAUUGUAGAUCCUAAGCAAUGCUAGGUACUUAAAUUCAAUCUCACACACUGGUGCUCGAAUAUACGUUUCGUAGCUUAGUUGUAUUGCAAAUGUUCGUUUCAGUGACAAUUUAAUUAUGCAACAGGAUCCACUAAGAUCAUGUGUCUAUCUAUGUUUUAUCUGGAGCUAGUUGUGUGAUAAUUGGAUGUAUAGCUUCUAAGUUCUAACA